UUUCCGUAGGUGAACCUGCGGAAGGAUCAUUACUGAGUGAGGGCCCUCUGGGUCCAACCUCCCACCAGUGUUUAUUAUACCUUGUUGCUUCGGUGAGCCCGCCUCACGGCCGCCGGGGGGCAUCUGCCCCCGGGCCCGCGCCCACCGAAGACACCUAGAACUCUGUAUGAAGAUUGCAGUCUGAGCAAAAACUAAAUAAGUUAAAACUUUCAACAACGGAUCUCUUGGUUCCG
rnacentral:misc_RNA from 1 species